rfam:Danio rerio chromosome 4, GRCz11 reference primary assembly.
GCAUUGGUGGCUGAGUGGUUGAAUUCUCGCCUGCUAUGCAGGAGACCCAGGUCCGAUUCUCGGCCAAUGCA